GCUGGGCGUGGUAGAGCAUGCCUAUAGUCCCAGCGCUCGGGAGGCUGAGGCAGGAGGAUCAUGAGUUCAAAGCCAGCUUUGGCAAAAGUGGGUGCUAAGCAAUUCAGUGAGACCCUGUCUCUA
rnacentral:sRNA from 1 species